rnacentral:rRNA from 1 species
UCGAGAAUUUUUCACAAUGGGCGAAAGCCUGAUGGAGCGACGCCGCGUGGGGGAUGAAUGGCUUCGGCCCGUAAACCCCUGUCAUUUGCGAACAAUGCCUGCGCUUUAAUAAAUCGUAGGUUGAUAGUAGCGAAAGAGGAAGGGACGGCUAACUCUGUUCCAGCAGCCGCGGUAAUACAGAGGUCCCGAGCGUUGUUCGGAUUCACUGGGCGUAAAGGGUGCGUAGGUGGUCGGGUAAGUCUGAUGUGAAAUCUCCGAGCUCAACUCGGAAAUGGCAUUGGAUACUAUUUGGCUAGAGGGUUGGAGGGGGGACUGGAAUACUUGGUGUAGCAGUGAAAUGCGUAGAUAUCAAGUGGAACACCAGUGGCGAAGGCGAGUCCCUGGACAACUCCUGACACUGAGGCACGAAAGCUAGGGGAGCAAA